rnacentral:rRNA from 1 species
GACGAACGCUGGCGGCGUGCUUAACACAUGCAAGUCGAACGGAAAGGCCCUGCUUUUGCGGGGUGCUCGAGUGGCGAACGGGUGAGUAACACGUGAGUAACCUGCCCUUGACUUUGGGAUAACUUCAGGAAACUGGGGCUAAUACCGGAUAGGAGCUCCUGCUGCACGGUGGGGGUUGGAAAGUUUCGGCGGUUGGGGCUGGACUCGCGGCUUAUCAGCUUGUUGGUGGGGUAGUUGCUUACCAAGGCUUUGACGGGUAGCCGGCCUGAGAGGGUGACCGGCCACAUUGGGACUGAGAGACGGCCCAGACUCCUACGGGAGGCAGCAGUGGGGAAUAUUGCACAAUGGGCGGAAGCCUGAUACAGCAACGCCGCGUGCGGGAUGACGGCCUUCGGGUUGUAAACCGCUUUCGCCUGUGACGAAGCGUGAGUGACGGUAAUGGGUAAAGAAGCACCGGCUAACUACGUG